rnacentral:rRNA from 1 species
CUUGACAUCCAGCGAAUUCGGUAGUAGGACCUUUAGUGGCCUUCCGGGGAACGCUGAGACAGGUGCUGCAUGGCUGUCGUCAGCUCGUGUUGUGAAAUGUUGGGUUAAGUCCCGCAACGAGCGCAACCCUUAUCCUUUGUUGCCAGCGGUCCGGCCGGGAACUCAAAGGAGACUGCCAGUGAUAAACUGGAGGAAGGUGGGGAUGACGUCAAGUCAUCAUGGCCCUUACGAGUAGGGCUACACACGUGCUACAAUGGCGCAUACAAAGAGAAGCGACCUCGCGAGAGCAAGCGGACCUCAUAAAGUGCGUCGUAGUCCGGAUUGGAGUCUGCAACUCGACUCCAUGAAGUCGGAAUCGCUAGUAAUCGUAGAUCAGAAUGCUACGGUGAAUACGUUCCCGGGCCUUGUACACACCGCCCGUCACACCAUGGGAGUGGGUUGCAAAAGAAGUAGGUAGCUUAACCUUCGGGAGGGCGCUUACCACUUUGUGAUUCAUGACUGGGGUGAAGUCGUAACAAGGUAAGCGUAGAUGA